UGGCGUCUGCCAUGAGCUCCUCUGUUCUCAGAGUGGGCACAAUCGGCUCAGCUUUUUUCCAUUGUACUGCCAAAAUUCACCGAUUUUGAGCACCAAAGGGAGCUUUUCAGAGGGAAUACAGAGGACUUAGGUGUGUCUGCAGGGAGGACUUGUCUAGCUGCUUUGCUGAUUCCUACACAAAAGCCCAGCUCCCAUGGCAGGGGUCCUCCGAGGAGAAAGAACAAAGCUACAGGACACCAGAAACCCCAUGAGCCAUCCAAAAACAUGAGGCAAAUGCUGAAAGAAUUGCUGCAGGGAGGAGGACAAGAAGUGGAUGGAGAGGCUGGGCAGAAGGCGGCGAUUACCGGAGGAAGCAGUGGUUCUGUGCCAGACUCUGCUGUAGGACUGGAGGCGAUGCCAGGCACAGGCCCAGGAGGUUGGGAUCAAGACAUGGAUUAUCUGGGAAACCUGCUGGAUUAUGGCUUGAGACUCAUGGGAAAUCCUGGAGGCAAGUGCUCAAUGUACCUUUCCUGAGAGAAUACAUAGUGACCAGGUGGCAAGAGCUCAUACAUUUGCCCUUUCACUUAAGAUCAUCUGAAGGUUGAUGGAAUAUGGAAAAUUUGUUCUGCUCCCUUCUGGAGCCCUGAGGGAUCCCACAGGAUCACUGUUAGUGGGAGGAAGGAGCAUUUAGCUGUCCAUCUUCCUCCCGUGUGCAAUGCCCAUGUGUCCUUCCAUGUGCUCUGUGCAGACACAGAGAAGAGCAGAGAGGGAAGUGGCCGGGCCCAGGGCUGUGCCCCGGGGCUGAGCCUUGUGGGCAGCCUGAGG